rnacentral:tRNA from 1 species
GGGAAUGUGGCAGAUUGGUAAUGUACUCCACUGUCUAUGGAGCCUAUGCGAGUUCGAUCCUCGUCAUUCCCGCCA